rnacentral:rRNA from 1 species
AUACGGAGGGUGCAAGCGUUAUUCGGAAUCACUGGGCGUAAAGGACGCGUAGGCGGGUUGGCAAGUCAGAUGUGAAAUCCUACAGCUUAACUGUAGAACUGCAUUUGAAACUGCUAACCUUGAGUAUGGGAGGGGGAGAUGGAAUUAGUGGUGUAGGGGUAAAAUCCGUAGAUAUCACUAGGAAUACCGAAAGCGAAGGCGAUCUGCUGGGACAUUACUGACGCUGAGGCGUGAAAGCGUGGGGAGCAAACAGGAUUAGAUACCCUUGUAGUCC